GGUGAAAGCUUACAUCUCUUCGGGAGCAUUUUACGAGGUCGCUGCAUGGUUGUCGUCAGCUCGUGUCGUGAGAUGUUGGGUUAAGUCCCGCAACGAGCGCAACCCUUGUGUUUUAGUGCAAACAGGUCAAGCUGUGCACUCUAGACAGACUGCCGUGGACAACACGGAGGAAGGUGGGGAUGACGUCAAAUCAUCAUGCCCCUUAUGAUCUGGGCUACACACGUGCUACAAUGGCCGGUACAACGGGCAGCGGAAGGAGCGAUCCGGAGCGAAUCCUAAAAAGCCGGUCCCAGUUCGGAUUGCAGGCUGAAACUCGCCUACAUGAAGUUGGAGUUGCUAGUAAUCGCGAAUCAGAAUGUCGCGGUGAAUGCGUUCCCGGGUCUU
rnacentral:rRNA from 1 species